UACGAAGGGGGGCUAGCGUUUGCUCGGAAUCACUGGGCGUAAAGCGCACGUAGGCGGAUCGCUAAGUCAGGGGUGAAAUCCUGGAGCUCAACUCCAGAACUGCCUUUGAUACUGGCGAUCUUGAGUCCGGGAGAGGUGAGUGGAACUGCGAGUGUAGAGGUGAAAUUCGUAGAUAUUCGCAAGAACACCAGUGGCGAAGGCGGCGACCUGGACAGAUAUUGACGCUGAGGUGCGAAAGCGUGGGGAGCAAACAGG
rnacentral:rRNA from 1 species